UUUUGCAGGUUCCUGGCCUUGGUCCAGGAGAAGUAUCCCAAGGUCACCCUGUCUCCAGGCUGGCCAUGGGAACAUGGCCAUGUUCCCAAACAGGAUGUACAAAUCAGCCAUGGUGGAGAAGAUGCACGAGCUGGUUGGAGUGGUGCCCCAGAGGGUCACCUUCCCUGUGCGGUCUUCCAUGGCUUGGGCCACUUGGCCCCACUGCAGCUGGCUGCUGAGCCAAUCUAAGAGGUGAAAACCACCAAACCCACCCCACCCUCCUGGAGGCGCUGAUGCCCUCAGCAAGAUCCUAGAUGCUCAUGGAUGGACGGGUCUUUUUUUUGAGAUGGUGUCUUGCUCUGUCACCCAGGCUGGAGUGCGGUGUCACCAUCUCAGCUCACUUCGACCUUUCCCUCCUGGGUUCAAGUGACUCUCCUGCCUCAGUCUCCCAAGUAGCUGGGACUACAGAAUCCAGGAUAGCCGCAGUUCAGCUAUCUCAAAGGGGCCGCAUCAGACUCAGCAUUCCUGCCACCUAAGCAAGCGGGGAAGGAUACCAGCUCUUGGGCCAGGCAGAUCUGCUCUCAGCAGGUCCCACUCCCAGCAAUUCUACGCACUGCUUAUAGGAGCUUGGCCAAAUCACUUCCUGUGUCCACAAAGCAAGGAAGUUAGAGCUGCUCGGCAGGGUGCCAGGAGGCUUGGAGAGGAUGCCUGGAGAGCUGCGGCCUACAGGUAUACCAUGAAGGCAGCCAUUUCACCUUGGUGCUUCGGGGCCCACAGUGAAUGCCGCAGGGAAAUGAAUUGACUGUACAAGGAGCGGCCUGAUCCCUCGUCUCCAGCUGCCCGGGGCUGAUGGGCUGAAUGUCGAGUGGCUGGUUCCCCAUGUCCAGGGCAGUGAUAAAACAGCAACGAUGACCCUCCCAGGUAAGGUCUGCCUUCAGCCCUGGUGCUCCUAGGUCAUCUGCAGGAGUGUUCUCUGCUUGCGGCAGGUACCUCCGGUCUCUGUUGCCAUGGCAAGAUGGGUUUAUUUACACCAUGUGCUAGAUGCAAGGUGGGGCAGGGGUGCAGGAGAGGGAGAGGGAGUACAAUGGUGUCAAGAGCACAGGGCUCCUGGCCUUUAGCCCCCAGCCACAGUGCUGUGGGUAAGGCUGGCACCAGCCUCCAGGCUGAGUCACAGGUAAAGGCCAAGAGCUGAAGCAAGAGUUUCUCAUGCACCAGGCACAUUUAUAAAGCAAACCUGGAGCCCAAAACUGGGUUGACAGAUUCCAGAGAGGCAAGGCCCUUGGAUGCCCCCAGAACUCCCACUGCCCCUUUAGCAAGGGUCUCUAACACCCUAUAAUAACCCAAAUCCUAAACACUGUUGCCUCUGCUGC
rnacentral:lncRNA from 13 species